AUUGAACGCUGGCGGCAGGCCUAACACAUGCAAGUCGAGCGGAUGAAGGGAGCUUGCUCCUGGAUUCAGCGGCGGACGGGUGAGUAAUGCCUAGGAAUCUGCCUGGUAGUGGGGGAUAACGUCCGGAAACGGGCGCUAAUACCGCAUACGUCCUGAGGGAGAAAGUGGGGGAUCUUCGGACCUCACGCUAUCAGAUGAGCCUAGGUCGGAUUAGCUAGUUGGUGGGGUAAAGGCCUACCAAGGCGACGAUCCGUAACUGGUCUGAGAGGAUGAUCAGUCACACUGGAACUGAGACACGGUCCAGACUCCUACGGGAGGCAGCAGUGGGAAAUAUUGGACAAUGGGCGAAAGCCUGAUCCAGCCAUGCUGCGUGUGUGAAGAAGGUCUUCGUAUUGUAAAGCACUUUAAGUUGGGAGGAAGGGCAGUAAGUUAAUACCUUGCUGUUUUGACGUUACCAACAGAAUAAGCACCGGCUAACUUCGUG
rnacentral:rRNA from 1 species